UUUAAAACGGUAAGUGCCUAGGGGGCAGAC
rnacentral:piRNA from 1 species